GGGGCAAAGGUGCAAAUGCCUCUGCCUUCCAGAGAACCGCGGCCUACGCCUGUGGCCAGCAGGAACAAUCGCCGUGCAGUGACCUAGGCUGUGUUCCGGGCGCAGGGUCAGGCUGCUGGGCACACUUGGAAGACUGUGCAGAGGCCCCAGAGCAGAGAUGCAAAGGCAGCUCGGACACCACGCACAGGUGGAGUUCCAAAGGGCAUAGCGGGGCUCAUGAGGUGACCACUGGGAUGAAGAAUAUUCCAGGCUGCGGGCAUCGUUUGUCUGAAAGUGUAAAAGCUCAGGACAAUAUUUCAAACUGAUCCUGAGAAGUAGCGUGAGGAGCAAGGCACUGGAGCCAGAAGAGAGCCCAGAUGUUGUCUUUGGAUGAGAGACUUACUCAAUCUUCCGUUGGAAAGGGGCUUGCAGUGCCGAUUCACAGAAUAGCUGUCCUGAUUGGUGACACUCAGUGUCAAGAACCUGGUUUCUCCUGCCUGGACAGUUAAUCCUGCCCACUGUCUUCACCUGGAAAACUCUGGUUUUACAACGGAUGCAGGGGGCUACAGGCCUGGCUGUUGUGUCUCCUCUUGAGGUCCAGCCCUCUUAAGAUUCACCUCCAGCCACAGCACAGUGUAAAGUGCAACUCACAUGGGAGCAGACAUUCCGUAUUCACCCGAUCUUCAGAAGUGGGC